UAAGAUGGUGCUAAAUCAGAACUAGAGUAAGUACUAAAGAUGCAGGUUUUGAAUACAAUUCUUUAAUUCUGAUCAGAAUUUGAUAUAAGAAUAAAUAUUUUUUGGCUUAAACAUGGGAAAAUAUAUACUUGGUAACUAUCUAAUUUCAUGUUCUGUGUUUUUUUUGUAUGUUUUAUGUUGGUAUUAUUUCUGUCCAAUGAAUCCUGACGGUAGUGACAUGAUGAACCCAGGUCAAGGUCCACCACCCACGAGUAAAUAAAUCGAAUCUCGCCAUUGUUAUCAUAAUAUAUAUCUGUACAUAAGACACAUUGUCAUAGUUUACAUCUUCAACAUGAGGCUUAUUUCUUGCUACUGCAAUUACCCUGUCAGUUCAUCUAACAAAAGCGAGCUGAAGUAACAUUUAAUUCAACACAGUUGAUACGAAUAUACUAUGCCUGGGAAGGAGGCAGGGGUGGGUGCCCCAAAUUUUGAAAUAAACACUUAAAGGUACCUUUUUUUCUACCAAUUGCAAUCCCUAAUGAACAAAUGAAGGAAAAUUAACUUCGACCAACUGCAUUUUUUACCUUAUAUAUAUGUCCAUUAAAUCCAUAUGAAUUGUAGAAUUAUAUUGCAGUGGUAAUUAAUGUUAAGUUUUACAUUCAUUUGAUUCAUCUUGAAACAAUUAUAGUGCUGUAUUAAAAUGAAGAUUGAGGGCAUUUUAUUUUAUCAUAGAUUUUCUUUGUAUUUUUUCUACAUUUUAGCCAAAAUGAUAAAGAUGUCAUCAUAAUGUAUAUUUUUGCCUAGUGUCAGUGUUGUCAAUGUUUAUAAUAGUUUAAUAUCAUGGGCUGUUAGUAUCAUCAUCUAUACAUAUUCAUUACUUCAUUAAAGAAAAGCCAGAUUUUCACAAUCAAAUAUCUGUUUAUAUCUUGUAUUAAAGACGUGACAUUAUCAUUUCGAAAAUGUGAACUCAAUAAUGCAGGGAGGUUAAGUAAUGUAGUCUUUAUCAUUCCAGCCUAUAUUUUCCACACAUUAGAUUCAGGCGAAUAAUACUAGAUCUUUGUAUCAUCUGGAGAAUAUCUUUCUCCAGGGUUCGGGUUAGGUUUAUAAAUUACAUGUCAAACGUACAAAUUGAAGCUGUAACAACGGUGGAUUGUGGGUAAAACUAUUCUGAAGGGUUAGGGUUAGAAUUGUGGGUAUAAACACUGACAGAUAUUCUCCAGAUCGGUCAAGAUCCAGUAGCGUGCGAUUCAGGCAGCAUUUCGCAUUAGGAGUUACGUGAACAGCUCGACAACCAUUUACCAUAAAAGUAAUGAACGCUACCUCCCCCCCCCCCCCACUAAUAUUUUCGUUGUUGUCGAAACAAAGACGAUAUAGGGUGGAAUGAUCGAGACUAUAAUGGAAACAAAAGUUAACUGUGUAUUAAAGUCUUAGAUUGGAAAACAUAUUUGUUGCUGAAAACAUAUUUUGCUAGCUAAGAAUGGGCCCAUUCGGCUUCAAAUCAAAAAAUACGCUGCCAAUCCUCACUUAGUGGUAAACGGAAUGUGUGUGUGUUGCGAAUAGCUACCUCACUAGCCGUGCUGAUGAACAGUCUUGUACUAUUAAGUUGUUAACAAAUUUUCUUGUACAACUAGAUUACCAACUUAAUCUUGAGGCAACAUAUAUCGUUUAAGAUAUUUUGUAUUAAUAAUAUUAUCAAUGUAUAGAUCUUAAAUCCAGUUCGUUUACUAACAGUAUUACUAAUGAAUUUGUGUCCAGGUAUUUGACAUACAGACUUAUUACCCUGACCAAUUGCAUCAUUACCUAACAAGUUCUUAGGUAAAACAGGAAAGCUAUUACGAGAACUGAAAGCCCUUGAUGUUCCUUUUUGGAAUUACGGGGACAUUUCUCAUACAAUCGUCAACAAGAAAAACAUCAAGCACAGUAGACAUCGGAAAGGCUCUUGAUUUGGUUGACUUGGUAUUUCAUGAUGUCCGCUAUAGCCCUUUUGCUUCAAUCGCAUCCGGCGUUUGUCUUGUAGAUUAAUAUCGUUUUAAUUGAACGCAAAGAUUCCAGUGGUAAUGUCGUUUAAAUCUACAUGUUGAUAAGAUUAUUGGUAGAAUAAAAACAUCACAACAUCUUAUUAAGUAUUAAAAUCAAAAGACAACACCCGUAGUGAUAUUGCUGUGUAAACCUUAAAGUUGUAAGUGCUGUAUUAAUAACGACCUGUAAAUGAACUCUUUUUUUUUAAAAUGCCUGUACUUUUAUCACAAAUAUUUACGUCAAAUUUUACAUAUUGUUAUUGAUUUCAUACUUGUAAAUUUCCAUAAUAUCGUAUAAUUAUAACAAAAAAUAAAGCCUUAUACAUUA